rnacentral:rRNA from 1 species
UACGUAGGGUGCAAGCGUUGUCCGGAAUUAUUGGGCGUAAAGAGCUCGUAGGCGGCUUGUCGCGUCGGCUGUGAAAACCCGUGGCUCAACUGUGGGCGGGCAGCUGAUACGGGCAGACUAGAGUGUGGUAGGGGAGACUGGAAUUCCUGGUGUAGCGGUGAAAUGCGCAGAUAUCAGGAGGAACACCGAUGGCGAAGGCAGGUCUCUGGGCCACUACUGACGCUGAGAAGCGAAAGCAUGGGGAGCGAACAGG